rnacentral:lncRNA from 1 species
UUUUUUUUUUAUUUUUGGGCUCUUUGGCCUCUUUUUUUUAUUUCCUCACAUGGGACAAUGCUCUAAUAAUGAUGAUCAUCACACUUUUAUUUACUCAUAGCUCAAAAAUUAUGAUGACUCUAUAGGAAAUGCCUCCGGCAGUAUACCGGGAUGUGCAACGAUCUAGCAUGGCGUAUGACGUUGAAAACAUCUCGCUAUCUAUCUUAC